rnacentral:rRNA from 2 species
AGAGUUUGAUCCUGGCUCAGGAUGAACGCUAGCUACAGGCUUAACACAUGCAAGUCGAGGGGCAUCAGGAAGAAAGCUUGCUUUCUUUGCUGGCGACCGGCGCACGGGUGAGUAACACGUAUCCAACCUGCCCUUUACUCGGGGAUAGCCUUUCGAAAGAAAGAUUAAUACCCGAUAGCAUAAUGAUUCCGCAUGGUUUCAUUAUUAAAGGAUUCCGGUAAAGGAUGGGGAUGCGUUCCAUUAGGUUGUUGGUGAGGUAACGGCUCACCAAGCCUUCGAUGGAUAGGGGUUCUGAGAGGAAGGUCCCCCACAUUGGAACUGAGACACGGUCCAAACUCCUACGGGAGGCAGCAGUGAGGAAUAUUGGUCAAUGGGCGCUAGCCUGAACCAGCCAAGUAGCGUGAAGGAUGAAGGCUCUAUGGGUCGUAAACUUCUUUUAUAUAAGAAUAAAGUGCAGUAUGUAUACUGUUUUGUAUGUAUUAUAUGAAUAAGGAUCGGCUAACUCCGUGCCAGCAGCCGCGGUAAUACGGAGGAUCCGAGCGUUAUCCGGAUUUAUUGGGUUUAAAGGGAGCGUAGGUGGACUGGUAAGUCAGUUGUGAAAGUUUGCGGCUCAACCGUAAAAUUGCAGUUGAUACUGUCAGUCUUGAGUACAGUAGAGGUGGGCGGAAUUCGUGGUGUAGCGGUGAAAUGCUUAGAUAUCACGAAGAACUCCGAUUGCGAAGGCAGCUCACUGGACUGCAACUGACACUGAUGCUCGAAAGUGUGGGUAUCAAACAGGAUUAGAUACCCUGGUAGUCCACACAGUAAACGAUGAAUACUCGCUGUUUGCGAUAUACAGUAAGCGGCCAAGCGAAAGCAUUAAGUAUUCCACCUGGGGAGUACGCCGGCAACGGUGAAACUCAAAGGAAUUGACGGGGGCCCGCACAAGCGGAGGAACAUGUGGUUUAAUUCGAUGAUACGCGAGGAACCUUACCCGGGCUUAAAUUGCAGUGGAAUGAUGUGGAAACAUGUCAGUGAGCAAUCACCGCUGUGAAGGUGCUGCAUGGUUGUCGUCAGCUCGUGCCGUGAGGUGUCGGCUUAAGUGCCAUAACGAGCGCAACCCUUAUCUUCAGUUACUAACAGGUUAUGCUGAGGACUCUGGAGAGACUGCCGUCGUAAGAUGUGAGGAAGGUGGGGAUGACGUCAAAUCAGCACGGCCCUUACGUCCGGGGCUACACACGUGUUACAAUGGGGGGUACAGAAGGCAGCUAGCGGGUGACCGUAUGCUAAUCCCAAAAGCCUCUCUCAGUUCGGAUCGAAGUCUGCAACCCGACUUCGUGAAGCUGGAUUCGCUAGUAAUCGCGCAUCAGCCACGGCGCGGUGAAUACGUUCCCGGGCCUUGUACACACCGCCCGUCAAGCCAUGGGAGCCGGGGGUACCUGAAGUACGUAACCGCAAGGAUCGUCCUAGGGUAAAACUGGUGACUGGGGCUAAGUCGUAACAAGGUAGCCGUACCGGAAGGUGCGGCUGGAACACCU